AGGAUAAACGCUGGCGGCGUGCAUUAGACAUGCAAGUCGAACGGACUUUUCGGGCUUGCUCGAGAAGUUAGUGGCGGACGGCUGAGUAACGCGUAGGUGACCUACCCCGAAGUGGGGAAUAACUGCCCGAAAGGGUGGCUAAUACCGCAUGUGAUCGUUCAUUCACUUGUGCGAUCAAAGCAGAAAUGCGCUUCGGGAGGGGCCUGCGUCCGAUUAGCUCGUUGGUGGGGUAAUGGCUCACCAAGGCGACGAUCGGUAGGUGGUCUGAGAGGACGAUCACCCAGACUGGGACUGAGACACGGCCCAGACUCCUACGGGAGGCAGCAGUCGGGAAUUUGCUCAAUGGGCGCAAGCCUGAAGCAGCAACGCCGCGUGAGGGAUGAAGGCCUUCGGUUGUAAACCUCUUUAUCAGGACAUUAUGACGGUACCUGAUGAAUAAGCCACGGCUAACUACGCGUCAGCAGCCGC
rnacentral:rRNA from 1 species